rnacentral:rRNA from 1 species
CCUACGGGAGGCUGCAGUGGGGAAUAUUGCACAAUGGGGGAAACCCUGAUGCAGCGACGCCGCGUGAGUGAAGAAGUAUUUCGGUACGUAAAGCUCUAUCAGCAGGGAAGAAAAUGACGGUACCUGACUAAGAAGCCCCGGCUAACUACGUGCCAGCAGCCGCGGUAAUACGUAGGGGGCACGCGUUAUCCGGAUUUACUGGGUGUAAAGGGAGCGUAGACGGCAGCGCAAGUCUGGAGUGAAAUGCCAUGGCUUAACCAUGGAACUGCUUGGGAAACUGUGCAGCGAGAGUGCAGGAGAGGUAAGCGGAAUUCCUGGUGUAGCGGUGAAAUGCGUAGAUAUUAGGAGGAACACCAGUGGCGAAGGCGGCUUACUGGACUGUAACUGACGUUGAGGCUCGAAAGCGUGGGGAGCAAACAGGAUUAGAUACCCGUGUAGUC